GGCGGCACGCCUAACACAUGCAAGUCGAACGAAGUAGCAAUACUUAGUGGCAGACGGGUGAGUAACAUGUGGGUAUCUGCCCUUUGGCCCGGAAUAACACGAGGAAACUUGUGCUAAUACCGGAUAAGUCUUUACGGAGAAAGCUUUAUGCACCAUUGGAUGAGCCUGCACUUGAUUAGUUAGUUGGUGGGGUAAAAGCCUACCAAGACUUUGAUCAAUAGCUGAUUUGAGAGGAUGAUCAGCCACAUUGGGACUGAGACACGGCCCAAACUCCUACGGGAGGCAGCAGUGGGGAAUCUUGCACAAUGGAGGAAACUCUGAUGCAGCGAUGCCGCGUGAGUGAAGAAGGCCUUUGGGUUGUAAAGCUCUUUCGUCGGGGAAGAAAAUGACUGUACCCGAAUAAGAAGGUCCGGCUAACUUCGUGCCAGCAGCCGCGGUAAUACGAAGGGACCUAGCGUAGUUCGGAAUUACUGGGCUUAAAGAGUUCGUAGGUGGUUGAAAAAGUUGGUGGUGAAAUCCCAGAGCUUAACUCUGGAACUGCCAUCAAAACUUUUCAGCUAGAGUUUGAUAGAGGAAAGCAGAAUUUCUAGUGUAGAGGUGAAAUUCGUAGAUAUUAGAAAGAAUACCAAUUGCGAAGGCAGCUUUCUGGAUCAUUACUGACACUGAGGAACGAAAGCAUGGGUAGCGAAGAGGAUUAGAUACCCUCGUAGUCCAUGCCGUAAACGAUGUGUGUUAGACGUUGGAAAUUUAUUUUCAGUGUCGCAGCGAAAGCGAUAAACACACCGCCUGGGGAGUACGACC
rnacentral:rRNA from 1 species